rnacentral:rRNA from 1 species
UACGUAGGCAGCGAGCGUUGUUCGGAGUUACUGGGCGUAAAGGGUGUGUAGGCGGUUCUUUAAGUUUGGGGUGAAAUCUCCCGGCUCAACCGGGAGGGUGCGCCGAAUACUGAGGGACUAGAGUGCGGGAGAGGAAAGUGGAAUUCCUGGUGUAGCGGUGAAAUGCGUAGAUAUCGGGAGGAACACCAGUGGCGAAGGCGGCUUCCUGGCCUGUUCUUGACGCUGAGGCGCGAAAGCUAGGGGAGCAAACGGG